rnacentral:rRNA from 1 species
GUGGAUUAGAUACCCUGGUAGUCCUAGCCGUAAACGAUGGGCACUAGGUGUGGGGGGUCAUCAACUCCCUCCGUGCCGCAGCUAACGCAUUAAGUGCCCCGCCUGGGGAGUACGGCCGCAAGGUUAAAACUCAAAGGAAUUGACGGGGGCCCGCACAAGCAGCGGAGCAUGUGGCUUAAUUCGACGCAACGCGAAGAACCUUACCAAGGCUUGACAUGCAGGGAAAAGCGGCGGAAACGUCGUGUCCGAAAGGGCCCUGCACAGGUGGUGCACGGCUGUCGACAACU